AUUGAACGCUGGCGGCAUGCCUUACACAUGCAAGUCGAACGGCAGCAUGGAGAGCUUGCUCUCUGAUGGCGAGUGGCGAACGGGUGAGUAAUGCAUCGGAACGUACCGUGUAAUGGGGGAUAACGUAGCGAAAGUUACGCUAAUACCGCAUACGACCUGAGGGUGAAAGCAGGGGAUCGCAAGACCUUGCGUUAUACGAGCGGCCGAUGUCAGAUUAGCUAGUUGGUGAGGUAAAGGCUCACCAAGGCGACGAUCUGUAGCGGGUCUGAGAGGAUGAUCCGCCACACUGGGACUGAGACACGGCCCAGACUCCUACGGGAGGCAGCAGUGGGGGAUUUUGGACAAUGGGGGCAACCCUGAUCCAGCCAGGCCGCGUGAGUGAAGAAGGCCUUCGGGUUGUAAAGCGCUUUCGGCCGGGAAGAAAUCGCACAGGCUAAUACUCUGUGUGGAUGACGGUACCGGCAUAAGAAGCACCGGCUAACUACGUGCCAGCAGCCGCGGUAA
rnacentral:rRNA from 1 species